rnacentral:rRNA from 1 species
GAUGAACGCUGGCGGCGUGCCUAAUACAUGCAAGUCGAGCGAACAGACGAGGAGCUUGCUCCUCUGACGUUAGCGGCGGACGGGUGAGUAACACGUGGAUAACCUACAUAUAAGACUGGGAUAACUUCGGGAAACCGGAGCUAAUACCGGAUAAUAUAUUGAACCGCAUGGUUCAAUAGUGAAAGACGGUUUUGCUGUCACUUAAAGAUGGAUCCGCGCCGCAUUAGCUAGUUGGUAAGGUAACGGCUUACCAAGGCAACGAUGCGUAGCCGACCUGAGAGGGUGACCGGCCACACUGGAACUGAGACACGGUCCAGACUCCUACGGGAGGCAGCAGUAGGGAAUCUUCCGCAAUGGGCGAAAGCCUGACGCAGCAACGCCGCGUGAGUGAUGAAGGUCUUCGGAUCGUAAAGCUCUUUUAUUAGGGAAGAACAAAUGUGUAAGUAUCUAUGCACGUCUUGACGGUACCUAAUCAGAAAGCCACGGCUAACUACGUG